CCGCACCCGCGCCUCCCACGAACCCUAGCCUCCUGGCCGCCACCCCUUCCUUCCCCGUCUGCCUCCCCCCGCCCGCGCGCCGCGAGCCCCUCCCUCCUCUUCGCGUUCCGGGUGGCGAUAGUCGGGGUCAACGAGGAGAUGCACGCGGGCGGCGGCCAUGGUCGACUCCAUGAGCGGGACCACCGCCGUCGCGGCGCUCAUGGCCGGCGGCGCACUCCACGGGGCUCGGGACGUCCGCGGCGGCGCGGGCUGUGGACCGAGAGGCGGGGCCCGUGAUGCGUUCCGUUCGAGGGGCUGGUCGGGCUGGCGCGGGAUCUGAGCCACCGUCGAUGGAUUUCUCGCAGCUUGGCUCCUGUUGCUUUGGAUCCGGUACGAUCCCCAUCUCUCUCUCUGCGAGACUCAACCAGGCACUCACAGGAAUGCCAUAUCCUGAAAAGUAAGAAGUCCAUGCCCUUCUAAGGCAGGACCCAGAUUUCUUGAAUAUAGGCCCUUAUCUGAAGUGAUGAUUCGAGCAGCAAUGGAUGAUGUGUGCUUCCUUCUCAAUAUACAAGAGAAAAUGAUGGAGAAGUUGAGCAAAGUAUCUUCAUGGCGUCUGUCAGUACAAAGUGAGCUAUACUGUAGGUGUUUUGCAUAAAUGACAACCAACAUGAAGAUUGGCCGCCUCUUCCAGCUGUCCUUGUUUUGUUUUACUUUUCAAGGAUGAGUAUCUUUACUUUGAAAAUGAACUCGUCAUAUUUCUAUUGGAAAUGAAGUGAUGUUUCUUCCCAGUUGUCGGCCGGCCCCGAUGGAGCUAUGUCAGGAGGAGGCCCCCAGCGGCGUGCUCGCACACGCGUUCCACGGCGACCACAUCACCAGCGCCCCUGCCAUCCUCCUCCAAGCCCAUGGCUAGUGGCUCCCCAAGGCCAAGCUAUGUCAGGCUGCAGCAGCAAGGUGAGCCCCAUCACUCUGUGUUUAUUUCUUCAGAUCAUGCAGCAGCAAUGUGACUGAGGAAUCGAUGCUUUACAUAAUUGAUCAGUUAACUGGUAAUAUAUCUAUAGAAUAGGCAAGCAAAAAACAUUGCGUUUCCUAGAUGUUCCAUACGAUAUUAAAGUUGGGACUAGGCUAAUAGACAAACUGUAUAUCCGAUUAUGCUAGAAAAAGUAGAAUAAAAAGUUUACUUUUAUGAUGGUAGGAUGUCUUCCUUAGUUUUGUUUCCGAUGUUCUCUCUCAAAAAAGAAAUCUGGGAUACACCAUCAGUAUCAACACCGGUAAAAAGAAUCCAAUCAAAACAUGAUGUUUUUCCCUUGGCUAUAUGUUUAUUUGAAGGAAACCAUUCAAUUCUCAGUGAUCUUUCUUUAUGCUCCUUAUUGCCAUUUUUCCUAAUGCGCCUAUAGAAGUGAUUUAUCAGGUGUUUUGGUAUAUUAUCUUAUAUAAGGGAGUGCCAAAGUUUUUUGGAUUGUGAAUUAUCUGGUCAGAAUCGGUUGUUUUUCCCCUUGUGUUCAUUUAUUUCUCAGAUUGCAGAACUGACGAGUGUAGACUAAGUUGAUGAUCUACAUGUGUUGCUCCUCUCCCCUGAUGUGUACUGCAACUAUAAAUAGGGAGAGAAUUGCGUGAGGAGAGCUCUCUUGCUAUUGUUCUGAGCUCACUCUUUGACUAAUCUAAAUGCUCUCUCUGCUCACCGAUCGAUCAAGGAAGGCACUGUAAUAUCAGCAAGGACCAACACAAAAAGAAGGGAGAAUAAACGGGACCAAUUAAGUUACUUCUGUGUAAGAGUACACUACUUUUGACUUUGGAGUCACACUGGUGAAUGGGGCGUCGCAUGGUCUAUGCUGGAGGUGUUCACAUAUAACAAGUUCACUAUUUGUUCCAUUCGUUAGGGAAAACGCUUCCUUCCAACCGACUGAUUUCUCGCUCGCGUAAAUCUCCUCGCGCAUCGUCCGAUCGCGAGAGAUCCGACGGACCCGGUGUAGCGCACGACGCGAGCUAACAAGGACGCGUCUAUUGGCUCGGGUUGUCUCACCCGCACCCCCUUUCCUCACACCUACCUGCAUUGCAACAUUUUUCCCCUUUUCGGUUCGUUCCUCUCGCCCAAGCUCGCUCCAAAUUUCCGAUGCGACGGUCAUCGCGGCGUCCAGCUCCCGGGGCGGCGAAGCUGACGUGAGGUUGACGUGGGGAGGCGCGCGAGGAGGUCCGCGAGGAGGCGGCUGAAGACAUGGACGGCGACAAUCUGCAGGACAGCUAGCCGUUUGCGUGAGGUUGCAGACAAGGAGCUGAAUGCUAACAAGAGGGCAGUGCUAGAGAAGUUGAGUUUUGGUUCGUUGUUGAAGAUCAGACCAUUUUCUGUACCUCUUGAGCUGAUUGACUGGGUAGUUAUGAGAAUUGACACUAAGCAUUCUUUGUUCAGCCGUAAAAAGAAGACUAUUGUUCACUAGAGACAUGGUGCACAAAAUUUUUAAUGUCCCAUCCGGACCAAGGGUAGUGGAGCUGCUGAAGAGGAACGAACGUUGCGAGCUGCGCGACAUAUAUCGAGAAGGCACAAGGGCUCCAAUGAAGAAAUCCAUUUCUGUAAUCAAGAAAGCAUCGGAUAAUGAUGUUGUUACUUUAGAGAGGACUUGGGUUCUUUUAUGCCUUGCUCUCGUGCUAGUUCCUGGCACCGGCAACAUGGUCUUGUUGGACUACCUUGCUAGCUUGAAGGACUUGGAUGAACUGAAUGAGUUUGCGUGGGACGAGCAUGUGUUGGCAACUGCGUUGAGGGAGGCGGGGAAUUACCAACUAAAGAGGGAGGCUGGGGCAAGUGGCUUUUGGAUAGGCGGCUGUCUACCUAUGUUCGUGGUAUGCCAAACGCAAAUCAUUUUGUCUAUGUUUUCAUUGAUUCAUAUUUUUGCUUUAUUUUAUUUUAUUUUAUUCUGCUCGCAACAAUCAUAUGUACGAUACAACCUUCUGAUUUGUUUUCUUUUUCAA